AGAGUUUGAUCCUGGCUCAGAUUGAACGCUAGCGGGAUGCCUUACACAUGCAAGUCGAACGGCAGCGGGAAGAAAGCUUGCUUUCUUUGCCGGCGAGUGGCGAACGGGUGAGUAAUGUAUCGGAACGUGCCCAGUAGCGGGGGAUAACUGGCCGAAAGGUCAGCUAAUACCGCAUACGCCCUACGGGGGAAAGGGGGGGAUUCUUCGGAGCCUCUCACUAUUGGAGCGGCCGAUAUCGGAUUAGCUAGUUGGUGGGGUAAUGGCCUACCAAGGCGACGAUCCGUAGCUGGUUUGAGAGGACGACCAGCCACACUGGGACUGAGACACGGCCCAGACUCCUACGGGAGGCAGCAGUGGGGAAUUUUGGACAAUGGGGGAAACCCUGAUCCAGCCAUCCCGCGUGUGCGAUGAAGGCCUUCGGGUUGUAAAGCACUUUUGUCAGGGAAGAAAAGGUUCUGGCUAAUACCCGGAACUGAUGACGGUACCUGAAGAAUAAGCACCGGCUAACUACGUGCCAGCAGCCGCGGUAAUACGUAGGGUGCAAGCGUUAAUCGGAAUUACUGGGCGUAAAGCGUGCGCAGGCGGUUCGGAAAGAAGGAUGUGAAAUCCCAGGGCUCAACCUUGGAACUGCAUUCUUAACUACCGGACUAGAGUAUGUCAGAGGGGGGUAGAAUUUCCGCGUGUAGCAGUGAAAUGCGUAGAUAUGCGGAGNAUACCGAUGGCGAAGGCAGCCCCCUGGGAUAAUACUGACGCUCAUGCACGAAAGCG
rnacentral:rRNA from 1 species